rnacentral:rRNA from 1 species
UACGUAGGCAGCGAGCGUUGUUCGGAUUUACUGGGCGUAAAGGGCGCGUAGGCGGCCACUGCAAGUCGAUUGUGAAAUCUCCGGGCUUAACCCGGAAAGGUCAACCGAUACUGCGGGGCUAGAGUGCAGAAGGGGCAACUGGAAUUCUCGGUGUAGCGGUGAAAUGCGUAGAUAUCGAGAGGAACACCUGCGGCGAAGGCGGGUUGCUGGGCUGACACUGACGCUGAAGUGCGAAAGCUAGGGGAGCGAACGGG